GACGAACGCUGGCGGCGUGCUUAACACAUGCAAGUCGAACGAAGAGCGAUGGAAGCUUGCUUCUAUCAAUCUUAGUGGCGAACGGGUGAGUAACGCGUAAUCAACCUGCCCUUCAGAGGGGGACAACAGUUGGAAACGACUGCUAAUACCGCAUACGAUCUAAUCUCGGCAUCGAGGAUAGAUGAAAGGUGGCCUCUACAUGUAAGCUAUCACUGAAGGAGGGGAUUGCGUCUGAUUAGCUAGUUGGAGGGGUAACGGCCCACCAAGGCGAUGAUCAGUAGCCGGGCUGAGAGGAUGAACGACCACAUUGGGACUGAGACACGGCCCAGACUCCUACGGGAGGCAGCAGUGGGGAAUCUUCCGCAAUGGACGAAAGUCUGACGGAGCAACGCCGCGUGAGUGAUGACGGCCUUCGGGUUGUAAAGCUCUGUUAAUCGGGACGAAAGGCCUUCUUGCGAAUAGUGAGAAGGAUUGACGGUACCGGAAGAGAAAGCCACGGCUAACUACGUG
rnacentral:rRNA from 1 species